AUGACUUUACUUCCCUUGGUGAGUAUGCUAUGGCUUUGCAAUUGCUUUUAUGAUAUAUUUCUUUAUGUUAUCUAUUCAUUUUAGGAACUUUAUUUUGACUAAUUGAAAUUUUUCGAAUCCUAGACUGGAUUGGCCAAUUAACCAAAGAACCUGACAAACUGUGAACUGACUUUUAAUCUUACUUGGGUUACUGUUUUAGUUCCUUAUUAAAGCCUGGGCUAUCAUUUUGGCCAAGUCAGGCAGUAGCAAUUAGGAAACCUUGUCAAUAAUUUUAUGGUUUCUAUUUAACAUGAAAUAGAUUGAGCAUACAUUUUUAUGGGCUUCAAGUUUGAUCCUUCAUAUGCUAUCUAUUGGAGAAAGGCAUACUAAGGCAGUGAGG
rnacentral:misc_RNA from 1 species